CUCCAGGAAGUAGCUAGUCAAGGCAAGAAAAAAUGGACGAUAAUCUUAAACUCGGAGACAGUGGAGUUGUAAAGAAUGUUGCAAAGUUGGGUCGACGGGGUCAACGUACUCGACAGGCUGCAGAGCAAACAUCUCUGGAGGAGCCUCGACACGUCAGGAAAUCCUCUUCUUCUACAUCGAUGGGAGAGGGACCCCCUCCUAAACCAGCCCGCAGGCAGGGCGGAUGGGCUGAAGAGACUUCUGGAUCAGCCAAGUCUGGAAGAAGACCUGCCAUGGUGCAGGACGUGGAAGAUCGACGCCUGCGACCACAAACCCCCCAGGGCUCGGAUGAUGAAGGAGAUAUACCGGUGAUCCCAGACCUUGACGAAGUACAAGAGGAAGACCUUAACAUGCAAGUUGCUGCUCCUCCAAGCAUCCAGGUGAACCGGGUAAUGACAUACAGAGAUCUGGACAAUGACCUCAUGAAGUACUCUGUCUUCCAGACCCUGGACGGUGAGAUUGACUUGAAGCUCCUCACCAAGGUUUUAGCUCCAGAGCAGGAGGUGAGGGAGGAGGACGUGGGUUGGGACUGGGAUCAUCUGUUUACAGAGGUGUCCUCAGAGCUGCUGACGGAAUGGGAUCAAGGAGAGAAGGAGGAGCAGGUCCCGCUGUCUGUGUUAUGAGGACAAGCCUCCCCAAGUUGGGAUAAAGUGGACCAGAACGUCUCCUCUGGGACCUGGGACCACGUGCUGACUGACACAGGCUGACACCGGCAGUCAACGAGGAGGCUCGUGCUCCGAGGCCAUAGACAUUGGCCAUGUUCGAGAGCAUCAAAACCAUAUUAUAAACUGGGUGGUUUGAGCCCUGAAUGCUGAUUGGCUGAAAGCUGGGGUAUAUCAGACUGUAUACCACAGGUACAUUUAUUUUUACUCUUCUAAUUACAUUGGUAACCAGUUUAUAAUAGCAAUAAGGCACUUUGGGGGUUUGUGGUAUAUGGCCAAUAUAACACGGCUAAGGUCUGUAUCCAAGCACUCGUGUUUAAGAACAGCCCUUAGCCAUGGUAUAUUGGCCAUAUACCACACCCCUUCGGGCAUUAUUGCUUAAAUGUAUCAUGGGUAAAUUGUGACUGACUGACUGAUCUACUAAUAUUAAUGAGUGCAUUCUGAUCCAACCGUCAAAUCAUACCCUACCGGUCAAAAUUUUCAGAAUACCAACUCAUUGAAGGGUUUUUCUUUAUUUGUACUAUUUUCAACAUUGUAGAAUAAAAGUGAAGACAUAAAAACUAUGAA